AUUAUAUAAAAAGCAAAUACACACAAAAUGCAAGUUCCAUUUCAAUAUUAGAUUCAGUAAAGAAUAAUAUUUUAGUAAAUGUAACCGGAACAAGCAAAACACAGGGCAUAAAAUAAGAACUGUGCAUUAUUCAUUGUAAAUAUAAAUAAACUAAAGAAAAUUAGUUUACAAUGAGUACUUACCCAUAUUAAAUGACUAAAUGUAGUUUUGAACACACCAUAUAUUAUCAGUGUGUUUAGUUUUUUAUGUGAUAAAACUUGUUUCUUGCUUGUUAGGAUUUAUCUAAUGUCAAUUGAGUUGAUGGCAGUGUUGCUCAUAAGGGAUAAUGUGUAACUAAACUUUCUACUCUUCAAGAAUAACAUACAUAAAACAGGAAAUUGUCUGGCAAAGUAGUUUAGUAGUAGGAGAAAAUACUUUAAAGCCAUCUCAGAAAACUCAGGAUACUAAUUUUUAUCUUUUCUACAGAAUAAAGCAAGUGAGGCUACAUUUUCCAAAAUUUAUCUUCAAUCCUCCAUAGUAGCCAACUCUCACAAUUUAUUAUUAUAAUUAAAUUAUCUUUUGAUGAAAGAAAUUAAUUCCAGAUCCAUUACAUCUUUUGAUAAAAAUAACAUUACACCAUUCUACCCAGUUUCUUGGGUGCUGGUGAUUGUUGCUAAAUUAUGUUAAAUGCUAUUUCAGUCUGUAUAAAUCUGUCCAAAUUCUAGUUUUUGUUUUUGUCCUUAGAUCUUAUUUUCCAUUUAAAAACAUGUUAC
rnacentral:lncRNA from 1 species